rnacentral:rRNA from 1 species
UUGACCUCAAAUCAGGUAGGACUACCCGCUGAACUUAAGCAUAUCAAUAAGCGGAGGAAAAGAAACUAACAAGGAUUCCCCUAGUAACUGCGAGUGAAGCGGGAAAAGCUCAAAUUUGAAAUCUGGCGGUUCUGAACUGUCCGAGUUGUAAUCUAGAGAAGUGUUACCUGUGCUGGACCGUGUACAAGUCUCCUGGAAUGGAGCAUCAUAGAGGGUGAGAAUCCCGUCUUUGACACGGACUACCUGUACAUUAUGGUGCGCUCUCGAAGAGUCGAGUUGUUUGGGAAUGCAGCUCAAAAUGGGUGGUAAAUGCCAUCUAAAGCUAAAUAUUGGCGAGAGACCGAUAGCGAACAAGUACCGUGAGGGAAAGAUGAAAAGAACUUUGGAAAGAGAGUUAAACAGUACGUGAAAUUGCUGAAAGGGAAACGCUUGAAGUCAGUCGCGUUGGCUAGAAAUCAACCUAGCUCUUGCUCGGUGUACUUUCUGGUUGACGGGUCAGCAUCAAUUUUGACCAUUGGAUAAAGUCUUUGGGAAUGUGGCAUCUUCGGAUGUGUUAUAGCCCAUUGUCGCAUACGGUGGUUGGGAUUGAGGAACUCAGCACGCCGCAAGGCCGGGUUUCGACCACGUUCGUGCUUAGGAUGCUGGCAUAAUGGCUUUAAUCGACCCG